rnacentral:lncRNA from 1 species
CCCCGGUGAAGAAACUGAGCCUCGGCCUCGAGGUCUCGGGAGCAGAGGUAGUGAAAUACUGCAGAUGCGCAUCUCCAUUCACUCAUCCAUCCGCUUCCUUGGUCAGCAAAGAUUUACUGAGCCAUUACUGUGUGCCAGGCCCUGUUCUGGAUGUUGGAGACACAGCAGUGAGGACAGCAAAGUCCCUGCCCUUGUGGGGCUGGUUUUACUACAUCGCCAGGAGGUGGAGAGUGCCAGGAAGAAUAUAGACAGGCAGGUAGAAUGGCUCCUUUCAGCCCACGACAACCUCCCCGACCCAGGCGAGUGUUCUCCGUGGAAUGACGCCUCCCCGUCCUCUCCAGCCUUGCUCUGCCCACAGGCGAGUUUCCCUUUCCCUUAUUAUCCUGGAUCCCAGGCUGUGGCAGCGGGGAAGUGGGUGCUGCGGGCUCCCCGUGAGAGGACGCUGGGGCAGGCCGUGUUUAUUCUGGCUGCCGGGGUUGGGUGGAAAUGCAGGCUGGAGCCAAGGCUGAGAACGUGGCAGGAACACAGCCGGGUGGGAUGGGUUGGGGGUGUAACUCGAGAAUGCGUGGGCUCAGGCCAGGAGGGCACCCGGCGUUUGUCACCUGCCUCCUGACUUGGUCGGUGAGUCAAAUAAUUCUAAAUCAGGGUGUGGAGCAUUGGUGUGAGGAUGGUCCUAGGGCUGGCAAGACUGGAUCCAAAUCCAAGCUCUGCCACUCAAUAGCUGUAAGGGCAGGCAGGGCAUUUGCCUUUCCAAGCCUCAGUUUUCUCACCCCUAAAAUGGGGUUUUACCACCUACAGAGAUGACAUCUUUGAAGGACCUGUGUCUGGCAGGGGUAAGAUGCUCCAUGGGUGUUCUUUUCCUUCCUCCUGGCUUCAUGUCCUCAAGGAACUCACUAUCUGGGGUGGGGUGGGGGCAGGUGUGGAGCCUGAGUGACAUGGGCACUGUCUGGGGGGAGGUGGAGGGUGGAGGAAACCUGAGUGGCAGGGGUAUAAAAAGCCUUCUCCAGAACUGGAACUGGCCCAGCACUGGGGCCACAGGAGUGCUAACCCCUUACACUGGGCCAGGAGUCAGCAAACCUUCUCUGUAAAGUUUUUUGGGUCAUACAGUCUCUGUUGCAACAACUCAACUCUGCUGUUGCAGCAAUAGACAAUAUGUAAAUAGACAAUAUGCAACUAGAUGACAUGCAAAUAGAUGUAUGUAAACAGACAAUAUGUAAAUAGGCAAUAUGCAAAUAGAUGAUAUGUAAAUAGACAAUAUGCAAAUAGGUGAUAUGUAAACAAACAGUAUAUAAAUAGCAAUAAGUAAAUAGAUGAUAUGUAAACAGACCAUAUGUAAAGAGUUAUAGACGCGUUCUCUCUAAUAAGCUUGGCUGUGUACCAAUAAAACUUUAUUUAUGGACA